rnacentral:rRNA from 1 species
ACAUCCAAGGAAGGCAGCAGGCGCGCAAAUUACCCAAUCCCGACACGGGGAGGUAGUGACAAUAAAUACUGAUACAGGGCUCUUUUGGGUCUUGUAAUUGGAAUGAGUACAAUUUAAAUCCCUUAACGAGGAACAAUUGGAGGGCAAGUCUGGUGCCAGCAGCCGCGGUAAUUCCAGCUCCAAUAGCGUAUAUUAAAGUUGUUGCAGUUAAAAAGCUCGUAGUUGAACCUUGGGCCUGGCUGGCCGGUCCGCCUCACCGCGUGUACUGGUCCGGCCGGGCCUUUCCUUCUGGGGAACCUCAUGCCCUUCACUGGGCGUGUUGGGGAACCAGGACUUUUACUUUGAAAAAAUUAGAGUGUUCAAAGCAGGCCUUUGCUCGAAUACAUUAGCAUGGAAUAAUAGAAUAGGACGUGUGGUUCUAUUUUGUUGGUUUCU